AUGGUGACGAAAGAUAGGAGGUCUCUAGAUAUAACGAUUACUGCUUGGUGCCUUCCUACAGCCACUUCUCCUGUAGGUCCUUCAGAUCCGAUAUUUCAUGCUUCAUCCGCAAGAGAGAAACUCCAAUCCGCAGUGGAGUACCUGAGAAAUCUCCUACCAUCAGUCGAGAGGCUGCUCCUCGACGAUCAAAGGGGGGAGAAGUGAUUUGCUGAUGUUUUAAGGUCCCUUGC
rnacentral:lncRNA from 1 species